UACGUAGGGGCUAGCGUUAUCCGGAAUUACUGGGCGUAAAGGGUGCGUAGGCGGCCAUUUAAGUCAGCGGUGAAAUUUUGCAGCUUAACUGUAACAGUGCCGUUGAUACUGUUUGGCUAGGAUUUGGUUGUAGUGUGCGGAAUGUGUGGUGUAGCGGUGAAAUGCUUAGAUAUCACACAGAACACCGAUUGCGAAGGCAGCACACUAAGUCAUUAUUGACGCUGAGGCACGAAAGUGUGGGGAUCAAACAGGAUUAGA
rnacentral:rRNA from 1 species